AGCGAACGCUGGCGGCAGGCUUAACACAUGCAAGUCGAGCGGGCCCUUCGGGGUCAGCGGCAGACGGGUGAGUAACGCGUGGGAACGUGCCCUUCGGUUCGGAAUAACUCAGGGAAACUUGAGCUAAUACCGGAUACGCCCUUAUGGGGAAAGGCUUGCUGCCGAAGGAUCGGCCCGCGUCUGAUUAGCUAGUUGGUGAGGUUAUGGCUCACCAAGGCGACGAUCAGUAGCUGGUCUGAGAGGAUGAUCAGCCACACUGGGACUGAGACACGGCCCAGACUCCUACGGGAGGCAGCAGUGGGGAAUAUUGGACAAUGGGGGCAAGCCUGAUGCAGCCAUGCCGCGUGAGUGAUGACGGCCUUAGGGUUGUAAAGCUCUUUUCUCCGGGACGAUAAUGACGGUACCGGAGGAAUAAGCCCCGGCUAACUUCGUG
rnacentral:rRNA from 1 species